AGAGAUUACCCGAAUUAGAACAAGGAUCGACUCAAAAUCAUUCCAAAUGCUCGAGAAACAUUUUGUUUAUUAUGGCAGGCCUGCGGAUGCCUUUCUGAAGAGCUACAAACAGAGCAAAGUUCAACUUCCAGAGACAAAAUAGCUGCUGCAGUGAGUGCUGCAACGGAAUAGGCCCUCAUGCUGCGAAAACCAAAGGGGUAUUACCGACACAGAAGUUGAGGUCUCAGAAGAUUAUCCAAGGGUUAAAAGACCUUACAGCCAGAUUUGCAGAAGAGAGAAGGGUGAUAGAGAAUUGUUUGAAGGCUAUUUAUAAUCCAUCGGAUCACUUAUCCUGAGGACGCCCGAGGCAGAGGGCAGGAAUUUACAAGAAACCCGCGAGCUUUCUGUUAGAACAAAUUGUUUGAUUCGGCAAAUAUAGAAUUCCAAAGAAUAAUUGCUAUUCAAUUUGCAAUAAAUUGAAAUU
rnacentral:lncRNA from 1 species